rnacentral:lncRNA from 1 species
GCGGGGUGGUUGUCAGCCCAGCACCACUGCCCAGGAUGGCUAUCAGCCCAGCGCCCCAGCCCAAGAUGGCCGCAAGCCCAGCGCCCCAGCCCAAGAUGGCCGCAAGCCCAGCGCCACAGCCCAAGAUGGCCGCAAGCCCAGCGCCACAGCCCAAGAUGGCCACCAGCCUAGCGCCACAACACAAGAUGGCCGCCAGCCUAGCGCCACAGCACAAGAUUGCCGCCUGUCCAGAGUCAUGGCCCAAGAUGGCUGCCAACCUAGCGCCACAGCCCAAGAUGGCCACCAGCCUAGCGCCACAGCCCAAGAUGGCCGCCAGCCUAGUGCCACAGUACAAGAUGGCCGCCAGCCUAGCGCCACAGCACAAGAUGGCCACUAACCCAGCGCCACAGCCCAAGAUGGCCGUCAGCCUAGCGCCACAGCACAAGAUGACUGUCAGUCCAGCGCUACAGUACAAGAUGGUGCCCGAUGCAGAGGUGGUGCUCGAUGCUGUUCCGGAGGCCGAGGUGGUGCCCGAUGCCGAGGCGGUACCCGAGGCUGAUCCAGAGGCCGAGGCGGUGCCCGAUGCUGUUCCGGAGGUCGAGGCGGUGCCCGAUGCUGUUCCGGAGGUCGAGGCGGUUCCCGAUGCUGUUCCGGAGGUCGAGACGGUGCCCGAUGCUGUUCCGGAGGUCGAGGCGGUGCCCGAUGCUGAGGCGGUACCCGAGGCUGAUCCAGAGGCCGAGGCGGUGCCCGAUGCUGUUCCCGAGGUCGAGGCGGUGCCCGAUGCUGUUCCGGAGGUCGAGGCGGUGCCCGAGGCUGUUCCGGAGGCCGAGGCGAUGCCCGAUGCCGAGGCGGUGCCCAAUGCUGUUCCGGAGGCCGAGGUAGUGCCUGAUGCCGAGGCCGUUCCCGAUGCAGUGUCUGAGGCCGUUCCAGAGACAGUGCCCGAAGCCGAGGCACCUCAGGUUUCCACAGACAGUCCGGAGUCGAGUCAUGUUCCCGUGAACUCUCCAGAGUCGAGUCCGAUUCCCAUGGACCCUCCGGAGUCGAGUCAGGUACCGGUGGACUCUCAGGAGUCGAGUCAGGUUCCGGUGGACUCUCCGGAGUCGAGUCAGGUUCCGGUGGACUCUCCGGAGUCGAGUCAGGUUCCGGUGGACUCUCCGGAGUCGAGUCAGGUUCCGGUGGACUCUCCGGAGUCGAGUCAGGUUCCGGUGGACUCUCCGGAGUCGAGUCAGGUUCCGGUGGACUCUCCGGAGUCGAGUCAGGUUCCGGUGGACUCUCCGGAGUCAGGGCUAGUCACCGCGGACUCUCCAGAGUCAGGUCAAGUCACCGAUCUUCUGGAAUCCAGUAAAG